UUGCUUGUCUUACAGAGAUGGGUGUUAUGCCUGAGAUAGCUCAAGCAGUGGAGGAGAUGGACUGGCUUCUCCCUACGGAUAUCCAAGCAGAAUCCAUCCCGUUGAUCUUGGGAGGUGGCGAUGUACUGAUGGCUGCUGAAACUGGGAGUG